rnacentral:lncRNA from 10 species
CCUCGGCCUCCCAAAGUGCUGGGAUUACAGGUGUGAGCCACCGUGCCUGGCCAUCCCCUGCUAACUUUUAAUCUACUUUCUGUCUGUAUGGAUUUGCCUAUUGUAGAAAUUUCAUAUAAGUGGAAUCACACAAUAUUUGUGCUUUUGUGUUUGGUUUACGUUUUGUUUUUUUUGUUGUUGUUUUUUUUUUUGAGAUGGAGUCUCACUCUGCUGCCCAGGCUGGAGUGCAAUGUUGCUCACCGCAACCUAUGCCUCCCAGGUUCAAGUGAUUCUGCUGCCUCGCCCUCCUGAGUAGCUGGGAUUACAGGUGCCCACCAUCAUGCCCAGCUAAUUUUUUUGUAUUUUUAGUAGAGAUGGAGUUUCGCUAUGUUGGUCAGGCUGGUCUAGAACUCCUGACCUCAAGUGAUCCUCCCACCUUGGCCUCCCAAAGUGCUGGGAUUACAGGCGUGAGCCACUGCACCUGGCCUGGUUUACUUCUGUUAGCAUUAUGUUUUUAAUGUUUAUUCAUGUUUUAUUGUAUGUCUUUUUAUGUUUUUUAUGAAACAAAACUACAUUUUGUUUCUCCAUUCAUCUGUUAAUGGACACAAGUUGUUUCUACCUUUUGGGUAUUACAAAUAAUGGUGCAUGAACACUGCUAUAUCUGUAGUUAAACAUUAAAAAAAAAAAUUGGCUAGAGUGGUGGUUCAUGCCUGUAAUCCCAGUACUUUGAGAGGCUGAGGUGGGCAGAUCACUUGAGGUCAGGAGUUCAAGACCAACUUGGACAACAUGGUGAAACCCCAUCUCUACUAAAAAUACAAAAAUGUGCCAGGAAUGGUGGCGCAUGCCUGUAAUCCCGGCUACUCAGGAGGCUGAGGCAGGAGAAUUGCUUGAAGCCCUGAGGUGGAGGUUGCAGUGAGCCAAGAUGGCGCCACUGCACUCCAGCCUGGGUGACGGAGUGAGACUUUGUUUCAAACAAACAUUCUGUUAGUAAUUCCCCUAGAGAUUACAAUGUGAACCUUGACUUAUUAGAGUAUAAAUAAGUAGUUUACCUCUUCACAGGCAAUGCAAGAACUUAAAUCACUUGAAUUUUAUGUACUUCUCUCCUGACUUAUAUGUUUUUGUUUUUAUUAUUUUCUUUUUUAAAUUUAAUUUUAUUUUUAAAGACAACAUCUCAUUUUGUCACCCAGGUUGGAGUGCAGUGGUGAGGUAGACCACCAGAGGCACUAGCAAUCCCAAAUUCCCUUGAUGUCUCUCUAAAAUAAUAAUUGGUUGCAGUUGGCCCCAGGGAACAGGUGUCUACCACUAGACACAAACACCUGAAACUGAUCAGCAGCUUCCCGAUAAGAUCUCAGGGGUAGGGCAGGUUGGCUCAAGCAUGCACCCGAAAAGGAAAAAUGGCAGAGUUUAACUGGUAUAUGACCUUCUAGGGGCAUCCCACUGGUAAGGGAAGAAUGCCUCAAGGGAGCAUGUAUACAGCCCCAGUGAACACACUGCGCAUGCUCACCUCCCCAGUGCUAGAGGCCACUGCACAUGCAGGCAGCCCACUCCAAGGGAACAAUCGGGAGAAGGGACGCAAGACCCAGGAAGCAUGCCAAUGAAUAAAACCCCAAGUCAAAAGGUCAGACGGUGCUCUUGAUCUCUCAAGUCGUGUCUUUGGCCCUUUUCCAAGCAUACUUUACUUCCCUUCCUGCUCUAAAGCAUUUUAAUAAACGUUCACUCCUGCUCUAAAACUGGCCUCAGUCUCUCCUCCUGCCUUAUGUCCCGCAGUCAACUUCUUUUUGUCUGAGGAGGCAAGAAUUGAGGUUGCUGCAGACUCAUAUGGAUUUGCCAUGGGGAACAAGACCCCACAGGUUAAGGGUUUCAAUCCCAUAAGACUGCCCCCACUUCAGAUGCAGGUCACAAGUCCUGGGGUGUCCCAAAGCCACGUACACUUUUGCCCAUCAGGGUAUAAAUUUGGGGCUUCCCAUGACACUCCCUCUCCCUCUCCAAGGUUUGAUAAUUUCCUAGAAUGACUCAAAGAACACAGGAAAGUGCUAUAUUUAUAGCUACAGCUUUUAUUGUAAAAGAUACAACUCAGGAACAAUCAAGUGGAGCAUGCAUAGGGUAAGAUCUGGAGGGGGUGGGGGAAACAGGAGACUGUCCCUGUGGAGUCCAGGUGUGCCAUCCUCCCAGUACAUCAAUAUGUUCACCAACCAGGAAGCGACCCAAUCCUCGAUGUACAGUUCUUAUUGAGGUUUCAUUACAUUGGCAUGCUUGAUUAAAUCAUUAGGCAAGUGAUAAAAUUCAACCUACAGUUUCUCCAUCUCUUCUGUGGUGGUGGGGGGAAGCGGGGCAGGAAAUUAACAUUCCACUUCCAUGAUUAUAUGGUCAAUUUUCUGGUGACCAGCCCCAAUCCUGAAGAUAUCUAGGGGCCCAAAUAGGAGUCACCUUAUUAGCAUAACAAAAACAUCAUUCAGGAAAUGCCAAGGUUUUUUGAAGUUCUAUGCCAGAAACCAAGAAAAAAGACCAGAUAUAUUUUUUAUUCUACUGCAGCCUUCAGAUAUAUUCUUUGCAUAUAUAAUGUGUAAAGUAGUUCUAAUUGUUCUCAGGGAAGGAUUGGUCAGAAAUGCCUAGGCCACCAUAACCAGAAGCAAAAUUCUCUUGCUAAUCAAUAAAUCAUAUUAAAUGAAAAAAGAAACAGCAAGAGAAAGAAGAGAAUAAGAGAAUGAAACACUGGAACAAUAAAAAAGUGAAUGAAACUGUAGGUAAAAAGAAAAUAAACCAUGAAGUGAGAAAUGAUUCUUUUAAAAGGAGAGAAAAUGACAGCGGUGGAACAGUACUCUUGAGGCAAAGUUCUACCUGCUGAUACCUGUUCAGAAUUUGUAUGUAAGUAUAAACAAAUAUUACUUACAAUCUUAUUUUCUCCUUUUCUACUCCUAAAGUAACAUACUAUACUAUUGUUGUGCACCUUGCUUGCCAUUUAACAACAUAUUUUAGAGAUCUUGCCACAUCAGUACAUACAGGGCACAUUCAUUUUUAAGCUGCAUAGUAUUACAUUGUAUGCAUGCACCAAAGUUUAUUAAAUAAAUCUCCUAUGGAUACACCUUUGGGUAAUUUCCAAUCUUUUGCUGUGACAAAAAAUGCUGCACAAAGUCUGUGAGCCUACUUUGGCUCAGGAGGCUUCCCAAUUAAAACUAUUUAAUUAAAAAGAAAAAAUGUUGCAAUAAAACAUCUUCAUAAAUCAUACACAUUUGUUUAAUGAACACAUUUCAUGUAUGAAGUACACAAAUGUAUUUGCAGGAUAAAUUCCCAGAAGUGGAUUUCUGGGUCAAAGAACUACAAUUUUGUACAUUUUGUAACUUUAAUGAAUAUUACCAAUUGCCAUCCACAAGAGGUGUGCCAGUUUACAGAAUUCAAAAUUACAAAAUUCCUACCAGCAAUGAGAAUAUGUACACAGAUAACUUUAAGAGACUUACCAAGACUGGCUUGACUUGUACAACUUUGUUUAAUGUGUUUAGCAAGGUAAACUAAUAGAUUUGAAACUAAGCCAACUUAUUAGGCCAACUGAUCAAAUACGACAUGAGAAAAAAAAACAUGCUCUUUUCCUGCAGCUUUCCUAUUUAAAUGUCACUCACACUCAGUUUUUAGGAAUUUCACCCACCUAUUGCAGGAGCUAAGUUAUUCCUGUCUUAAUGCCCAGUGAAGUUUCUGCACGUUUGAGAAUCUACUUAGUAUUCCCGAUUGCUCAGAAUUCAGUGAUGUACUGAUUGGUAUUAGUGGAGAUAAUUUGGUUUUAAUUCUCUCAUAAACUUCAACUUGGCUACUUUAUUUUUUUUUUUAAGGAAAACCACAAAAAAUACUCUCUAAAAUGUGGUAAUACAGUACCUGUACUUUUAACAGGGUACCUAAAAUUGUGGAUUGAUAUGACUUUGAAAUAAAGAUCAAUCUGUACUAAUGAGGUGUCAACAUUAUAAUAUUAUAAUCCAAUAAUAUAAUUCAGUGCCUAAUAAUACUAGCCUUAGAGGAAGGCUGUCUGAGUUCAGAUGUUGCUUGGGUACUUACUUAGGCGACCCUUUGCAAGUGGAUUGCUUGCAAUUUAUUUACCUUCACAAAACUUCAAUUCCUUGGUAGCGUUGACAUGAAGAUUAAAUAAAAUAAUCUGAUAAACAUGCACCACUGCUAGGAGCAUCAUCGUCAUUGACAAAUGAUCCCUCCAGUGAGGGCUCACAGAUUAUUUGUCAUAGUUUUUCAUGACAAAGAUUCUGAUUCCUACUAAUUGAGAACAUCAAGAAAAUGUUCUCCGGAUAUUUACUUAGAAGCACUGAUAUGAAAUAUGGUGCUUAUACAUAAUUGUUUAAAGACAGAGUGAAAAGAACAUGGGCUUUGGAGUUGAACAGGGUCGUGGUCUUGAAUACUGGCUCUGCCACUCAGCAGCAAGACACCGUGGCCAAAUAGCAAUCCCUCUGAGUCUCUUAUCUUUAUUUUUAUUUAUUUAUUUAGAGAUAGAGUCUCACUCUGUCGCCCAGGCUGGAAUGCAGUGGCGAGAUAUUGUCUCACUGCAGCCUCCUCCCCUGGGUUCGGGUGAUUCUCAUGGCUCAGCCUCCUGAGUAGCUGGGAUUACAGGCACCUGCCACCUCACCUGGCUAAUUUUUGUAUUUUCAGUAGAGAUGGGGUUUCACCAUGUUGGCCAGCCUGGUCUUGAACUCCUAACCUCAAGUGAUCUGCCCAUCUUGGCCUCCGUGAGUGCUGGGAUUACAGGCGUGUGCCACCAUGCCCAGCCUCUUUCCUUAUCUUUAAAUGGGCAUAGCAUCACCUAUUUUCCAUGGUUAGUGUGAGGAUUAAAUGAGAUAAUGUGUGUAAAGCGUCUGGUGCAAGCUAAGCACCAAUAAAUGAGAACUGUCAUUAGUUAUUAAAGCAAUACAUCUAAUGGUAUUAAUUCAAUUAGCGUUUAUCAAUUGUGCUAUGCCCAACACUGCUCUAGGGAAGCUGCUGGGAAUACAAAAAAUGCAAAUAUUCUCUGUGUGUAUAACACAUAUCUCAAUAAAUACAGAAUACACGUGACAUACAAAAACAUCUUCCACAUCCCAUACAAGCACUGAUAUAGUCUGAAACGGGGAUGAGAUUCAAUAGAAUGCCUGUUUAUCUCUUUUUGGGAAGAACUUACACUGUCCCGAAGCUUAGAGUGGCUAAUUAUGGUUUGAAGUGAUACAAGUCACCUGUACCAUACUGUAUUUUUUCAUUCUGAUUGUUUAGGAAUCAAAAUAAAUGGGAAUGUGUCUUACCAUUUCAGCAUUAUUAUUAUGCUCCACAUACCUUUAAAACAAGUCUUUUGGUGAAUGAUAAAAGCCUGACAAAUGUAGUGCACACACAACCACAGACCAAUACUGAUAAUAUCAAUGCAAAAAUCCUAAUGAAAUAUUCAUUGGAAUUGGGCAAUAUAUUAAUAAUAUAUUACAACCAAAUAAAACUAACUCAUAGAGUGUAACUGUGAUUCAGUGUUAAAACUGUUUUAAACACCACAUUAAUAUGGUGGAAGAG